rnacentral:lncRNA from 1 species
CCUGAGCAAGGCAAUGAGGACCGGUGCAAACUCCUCACAGCCUGUGGGCAGUUCAUUAGCUGUGGUUCUCAGGUGCUUCUCAUACACACUCUCAGUAGGGCACAACUUCCACGCUUCCAUUUACUUAUUUAGAAAUGUGGUUUGGCUAUGUUGGUCAGAGUGGCCUCAAACUCCUGGGCUCAAGCCAUCCUCCUGCCUCGGCCUUCUGAGUAGCUGGGACUACAGGCGUGCGCCAUUACGCCCUGCUACACAUCCCUGCUUUAGCAGGUGAGCGAACGGGGCAUGGAUAGGGCAAAUUCAAGGCUUCACGCCAAGUAAUUGGGAGAACCUGGACUUGAACCUAGGUCUUCACCCCUCCCUGACAUCAGGGAGAUGGCCUUCCUGGAGCUGCAGCCAGAUCCCACUGUCCCUGGCAUUGUGCUGUGUCCAUGCCUGUGCUACACUCCCUACCCUAACCCCCGUCUCACUCCGAUUCUCCCCUCCUUCAAGGCUUAACACCUCCACAAAUGCCACAAAACCUUCCCCAGUGAUCCCCACAGCUACUGGUGUCCUGGGUCUUCGAAGUGUUCCUUCUUGUCUGCACUCCAGCCUGAGUGACAGAGUGAGCCCUUAUCUCAAAAAAAAAAAAAAAAAAAUCCCAAUUGUAAGAGUUAACACAUGCUCAUACUAAGGAUCCAGACAGAUCAGAAGGGUAUACAGAGGCAAGCAGAAUCUCCGGCUUCCUACCAGCUUCUCUUCCAGAGAAACACAGUGUUAGCAAUUUCUUGUGAAUUCCUCUGGAAAGUCUCCAUUCAUUUACAGGAUGUCACACUAUAUUGCUUUAAUUAUCCUUCUCUGUCCACUGCUCCAUACCUAGUUCCCUGAGGACUGGCUAGGAUCUGACUUAGGUAGGUGCUGGAAUCAGUCCUGGGCCGGGCUGGAAAAGAUGAUCAGAAAAUUUUGCAUGGGAUAGUUUUAUUCCCUCCUGACACCAACUGACCAGAUAGCAUGGGAUCUGGUGAACCUCCUUGCUCCUAAUUGGAGGCUGCCAUCUCCUAGCUGGCAGAUGUAUUUUCUUUUCCUUAUAGAAUAUUAUUAUCAUUACUGAAAGAUGAAUUCAUUUUCAACAUUUAAAACCUGAGAGAUAUUACUUAAAAAAUAUAAUUUUCCCAUCUGGCACAGAGGUUCAUGCCUAUAAUCCCAGACCUUUGGGAGGCCGAGGUGGGAGGAUCGCUUG